rnacentral:piRNA from 1 species
UGGUGUCUCACUGUGGCAUCCUCAGGCGA